AUCACCAAGGCAACGAUGCGUACCCGACCUGAGAGGGUGAUCGGCCACACUGGGACUGAGACACGGCCCACACUCCUACGGGAGGCAGCAGUAGGGAAUCUUCCGCAAUGGACGAAAGUCUGACGGAGCAACGCCGCGUGAGUGAUGAAGGUUUUCGGAUCGUAAAUCUCUGUUGUUAGGAAAGAACAAGUACCGUUCGAAUAGGGCGGUACCUUGACGGUACCUAACCAGAAAGCCACGGCUAACUACGUGCCAGCAGCCGCGGUAAUACGUAGGUGGCAAGCGUUGUCCGGAAUUAUUGGGCGUAAAGGGCUCGCAGGCGGUUUCUUAAGUUUGAUGUGAAAGCCCCCGGCUCACCCGGGGAGGGUCAUUGGAAACUGGGGAACUUGAGUGCAGAAGAGGAGAGUGGAAUUCCACGUGUAGCGGUGAAAUGCGUAGAGAUGUGGAGGAACACCAGUGGCGAAGGCGACUCUCUGGUCUGUAACUGACGCUGAGGAGCGAAAGCGUGGGGAGCGAACAGGAUUAGAUACCCUGGUAGUCCACGCCGUAAACGAUGAGUGCUAAGUGUUAGGGGGUUUCCGCCCCUUAGUGCUGCAGCUAACGCAUUAAGCACUCCGCCUGGGGAGUACGGUCGCAAGACUGAAACUCAAAGGAAUUGACGGGGGCCCGCACAAGCGGUGGAGCAUGUGGUUUAAUUCGAAGCAACGCGAAGAACCUUACCAGGUCUUGACAUCCUCUGACAAUCCUAGAGAUAGGACGUCCCCUUCGGGGGCAGAGUGACAGGUGGUGCAUGGUUGUCGUCAGCUCGUGUCGUGAGAUGUUGGGUUAAGUCCCGCAACGAGCGCAACCCUUGAUCUUAGUUGCCAGCAUUCAGUUGGGCACUCUAAGGUGACUGCCGGUGACAAACCGGAGGAAGGUGGGGAUGACGUCAAAUCAUCAUGCCCCUUAUGACCUGGGCUACACACGUGCUACAAUGGACAGAACAAAGGGCAGCGAAACCGCGAGGUUAAGCCAAUCCCACAAAUCUGUUCUCAGUUCGGAUCGCAGUCUGCAACUCGACUGCGUGAAGCUGGAAUCGCUAGUAAUCGCGGAUCAGCAUGCCGCGGUGAAUACGUUCCCGGGCCUUGUACACACCGCCCGUCACACCACGAGAGUUUGUAACACCCGAAGUCGGUGAGGUAACCUUUUAGGAGCCAGCCGC
rnacentral:rRNA from 1 species